rnacentral:rRNA from 1 species
AGUGAACGCUGGCGGUAGGCCUAACACAUGCAAGUCGAACGGCAGCACAGUAAGAGCUUCCUCUUACGGGUGGCGAGUGGCGGACGGGUGAGGAAUACAUCGGAAUCUACUUUUUCGUGGGGGAUAACGUAGGGAAACUUACGCUAAUACCGCAUACGACCUACGGGUGAAAGCAGGGGAUCUUCGGACCUUGCGCGAUUGAAUGAGCCGAUGUCGGAUUAGCUAGUUGGCGGGGUAAAGGCCCACCAAGGCGACGAUCCGUAGCUGGUCUGAGAGGAUGAUCAGCCACACUGGAACUGAGACACGGUCCAGACUCCUACGGGAGGCAGCAGUGGGGAAUAUUGGACAAUGGGCGCAAGCCUGAUCCAGCCAUACCGCGUGGGUGAAGAAGGCCUUCGGGUUGUAAAGCCCUUUUGUUGGGAAAGAAAAGCAGCAGGUUAAUACCCCGCUGUUCUGGCGGUACCCAAAGAAUAAGCAUCGGCUAACUUCGUG